GGUAGGUAGGCCAACACAACUGUCAGUAAAUCCCGCAUUGAAGCGGCGGCUGGCACAACAGUCAGUAAAUCCUACAAAAGGAGAAGGCCUAACCGCUGGUGAUGGAUUUGUCUGUGGCCUGCUGUUGGAUUCAAAACAACCCUACUGUUGGGGCAAUAGCAUAUACAUCCAAAUGGGUGUCCCUCAUCCAAUGGCUGAAGAAGCUUCCUACUCAGAAAUCAGUGCUAGGGACCACCAUAUCUGCGAAUUGAGAUUGCUUGCCAAAGGGACGUAUGCAAACAUCUCCAUGGUUGGGCUUAGAGAAGACCAGACAUGAGUACAAUCAAGAGAGUUUUUGCACCAACUUGGUUGCUUCAAAUCAUUAUGGUUAUUCUGUUAUUGUAUUUGGUGAACUCAUGGAAUUCCAUGGAACUGAUUGAAUGGAAGGAGCUUUUGUUGUUCAUACAAGUCAUGUUUCUAAUUUUUUGGAUGAAUUGGGUGUGUGAAAUUGUAUGGAACUGAUCAAAUGAACAUGGAAUUUCUAUUGGGAAGAAACACCGACUCCUCAGAAGGCUGUAGACACUACGGUCAUUGGAUUCUCUGCAAGUUGUAAGAGUUCAUGUCAUACCUUUUAGUAAAUUUUUUUUAUUUUUUUGAAUUCUCCAUAGACGUUAAGUUUUCUUCUUGUUGUUGGUUUUUUUGGAUUCUCCAUAUGAAAUUAUGAGAAAUCAUGCCUAAAACAUUUAAAAGCAUUUGUUGGAGUCCACCUAAGUUUUGAAAUAGCCUAAAAUCUGUUGUGACCCCUUAUCCAAGUGACCUCUUAU